CUAGUCCAGAGCCUUAUAGGGUUUAGGCAUACUAUAGCUGUCCAGUCCUCCUGGGAAAAGAAUAAGGAUUUACAAUGGCAGACUCAGGGCUGAGUACCCAAGGCUGGAGGCCAGGGGCUAAGGGCAAGGGCUGGAGCUGGGCACUGGCCUUCCAGCUGGGUAUCAGGACGCUGAGGUUAGAGGAGAACAGCUGAGAGUGUGGGAGCUAGGAGGUUGGGGCUGUAGGGGUGGAGACACUGGAGUACGACAGGGUGAAGUCGGCAGGUGAGGAGAGGAAGAGGCUGCAAGGCUUGAGUCUGGGCGACUGGCAGGGAACAGAAAAGAAGGGAUAAGGGGAGGGAGGUACAUGCUGAGAGGUUACAUCCCUGCUGUACCUGACAGACUGGGAGCUCCAGAGCUGAAGUCGGUAAUCCGCCUGACUGAGGAGCGGUAUCGGGAAUGGGGGAAAGUAAGGAAAUGCAGCUUGAAAGGUAGUGUGUGAAGGAGACCUGCUCAGUGCAAGGCAGCGUGGAUUCCCAAGACCAGGUCCCAGGCAGCAGCCGCCAGGUUUGCUCCCAGUGCGCUCCACCCUCCCUGCAAGUCGCACGCCGGUGCCCCCAUCCCCCGUGCCAGCUGCAGGCCAGACUUCACAUCCUAGGCCAGCUCCACACUGGCCAUCUCCACUGCUUAGCUCAGGGAGUUACAAGCAGCAAUCACACUGGGGAACUUGCUCCUCGAGAGGAAGGCUGGGCCGGAAACAAAACCCUGAGCACAGCCUAGAGGAGCGAAAACUUAUGGAAAUCAGACAGUGCCUUGAGAGUCCGCAGUCAAGGACAAGAGUCCCCAUCGGCAUGGAAAACAGGUGGCAUUCAACAAACACGUCAAGGUGACGACGGACGCGGUCCUCCUUUUGGGGCGGGUGACCACAAGGUGGAGCCAAAACGCAACCCUUCACAGCUCACUUGGGCCACCAGGACCGUUUCCCAUGAUGGCUACUUUCCAGCUUGCUUCUGUCAGUCCUUAAUUGCCACAGGUGGUUGUCCUCCCACCUCCAACCCACGAAUCUCCCCAUGAUGAACCCUCAAUACCAUGUCACAUCCAACCCGAGAUAGAAGAUGCACCAUCCUAGUCCUAGUGCCGAAAAGAUUAGACUGUGACCAAAUGGGAAAUAAAUUCAUUGAGUAACAGACUGACA
rnacentral:lncRNA from 1 species